UGGGGAAUAUUGGACAAUGGAGGAAACUCUGAUCCAGCAAUUCUGUGUGUGUGAAGAAGGUUUUAGGACUGUAAAACACUUUUAGUAGGUAAGAAAAAAAUGACGGUACCUACAGAAGAAGCAACGGCUAAAUACGUGCCAGCAGCCGCGGUAAUACGUAUGUUGCGAGCGUUAUCCGGAAUUAUUGGGCUUAAAGGGCAUCUAGGCGGUAAGACAAGUUGAAGGUGAAAACCUGUGGCUCAACCAUAGGCUUGCCUACAAAACUGUUGAACUAGAGUACUGGAAAGGUGGGUGGAACUACACGAGUAGAGGUGAAAUUCGUAGAUAUGUGUAGGAAUGCCGAUGAUGAAGAUAACUCACUGGACAGAAACUGACGCUGAAGUGCGAAAGCUAGGGGAGCAAACAGG
rnacentral:rRNA from 1 species